rnacentral:rRNA from 1 species
UACGGAGGGUGCAAGCGUUAUCCGGAUUCACUGGGUUUAAAGGGUGCGUAGGCGGACAGGUAAGUCAGUGGUGAAAUCUCCGAGCUUAACUCGGAAACUGCCUUUGAUACUCUCUGUCUUGAAUAUGGUGGAGGUAAGCGGAAUAUGUCAUGUAGCGGUGAAAUGCUUAGAGAUGACAUAGAACACCUAUUGCGAAGGCAGCUUACUACGCCUAUAUUGACGCUGAGGCACGAAAGCGUGGGGAUCAAACAGG